GUAUCAUGGCUCAGAUUGAACGCUGGCGGCAGGCUUAACACAUGCAAGUCGAGCGGAGAUGAGGUGCUUGCACCUUAUCUUAGCGGCGGACGGGUGAGUAAUGCUUAGGAAUCUGCCUAUUAGUGGGGGGACGAACAUUCCGGAAGGGAUGCUAAUACCGCAUACGUCCUACGGGAGAAAGCAGGGGAUCUUCGGACCUUGCGCUAAUAGAUGAGCCUAAGUCGGAUUAGCUAGUUGGG
rnacentral:rRNA from 1 species